AGAGUUUGAUCAUGGCUCAGAUUGAACGCUGGCGGCAGGCCUAACACAUGCAAGUCGAACGGUAACAGGAAGAAGCUUGCUUCUUUGCUGACGAGUGGCGGACGGGUGAGUAAUGUCUGGGAAACUGCCUGAUGGAGGGGGAUAACUACUGGAAACGGUAGCUAAUACCGCAUAACGUCGCAAGACCAAAGAGGGGGACCUUCGGGCCUCUUGCCAUCGGAUGUGCCCAGAUGGGAUUAGCUAGUAGGUGAGGUAACGGCUCACCUAGGCGACGAUCCCUAGCUGGUCUGAGAGGAUGACCAGCCACACUGGAACUGAGACACGGUCCAGACUCCUACGGGAGGCAGCAGUGGGGAAUAUUGCACAAUGGGCGCAAGCCUGAUGCAGCCAUGCCGCGUGUAUGAAGAAGGCCUUCGGGUUGUAAAGUACUUUCAGCGGGGAGGAAGGGAGUAAAGUUAAUACCUUUGCUCAUUGACGUUACCCGCAGAAGAAGCACCGGCUAACUCCGUGCCAGCAGCCGCGGUAAUACGGAGGGUGCAAGCGUUAAUCGGAAUUACUGGGCGUAAAGCGCACGCAGGCGGUUUGUUAAGUCAGAUGUGAAAUCCCCGGGCUCAACCUGGGAACUGCAUCUGAUACUGGCAAGCUUGAGUCUCGUAGAGGGGGGUAGAAUUCCAGGUGUAGCGGUGAAAUGCGUAGAGAUCUGGAGGAAUACCGGUGGCGAAGGCGGCCCCCUGGACGAAGACUGACGCUCAGGUGCGAAAGCGUGGGGAGCAAACAGGAUUAGAUACCCUGGUAGUCCACGCCGUAAACGAUGUCGACUUGGAGGUUGUGCCCUUGAGGCGUGGCUUCCGGAGCUAACGCGUUAAGUCGACCGCCUGGGGAGUACGGCCGCAAGGUUAAAACUCAAAUGAAUUGACGGGGCCCGCACAAGCGGUGGAGCAUGUGGUUUAAUUCGAUGCAACGCGAAGAACCUUACCUGGUCUUGACAUCCACGGAAGUUUUCAGAGAUGAGAAUGUGCCUUCGGGAACCGUGAGACAGGUGCUGCAUGGCUGUCGUCAGCUCGUGUUGUGAAAUGUUGGGUUAAGUCCCGCAACGAGCGCAACCCUUAUCCUUUGUUGCCAGCGGUCCGGCCGGGAACUCAAAGGAGACUGCCAGUGAUAAACUGGAGGAAGGUGGGGAUGACGUCAAGUCAUCAUGGCCCUUACGACCAGGGCUACACACGUGCUACAAUGGCGCAUACAAAGAGAAGCGACCUCGCGAGAGCAAGCGGACCUCAUAAAGUGCGUCGUAGUCCGGAUUGGAGUCUGCAACUCGACUCCAUGAAGUCGGAAUCGCUAGUAAUCGUGGAUCAGAAUGCCACGGUGAAUACGUUCCCGGGCCUUGUACACACCGCCCGUCACACCAUGGGAGUGGGUUGCAAAAGAAGUAGGUAGCUUAACCUUCGGGAGGGCGCUUACCACUUUGUGAUUCAUGACUGGGGUGAAGUCGUAACAAGGUAACCGUAGGGGAACCUGCGGUUG
rnacentral:rRNA from 1 species